GGAAGUGGGCGGAGUAAAAGAUGAUAGGUUUGGAUAGAGGAGUCUUGAAGAUGAUUCUAGAAAACGAAAAAUGAUAAACUAAUAAUAAAUAGUAGUAGUAUAGAUUAAAUUAAUAAUAAAAUAUUAUAGACAUAGAUUAAAUAAUAUAAUAUUAGAAUCAUAUUUUUUUUAGUCCGACACUUUACUAAACGCUUUACUAAAUCAGUCCAGCUUAGUCUAGUCUAAGCUAGUCCAGCUUAGUCUAGUCUAAGCUAGUCCAGCUUAGUCCCUGCAGCUAAUCCAGCUCGAGAUAGUCUGGUGCAACAAAAACAUCCUGAAAGUGUACCAAACAACUGGGUCCGUACUACUAUUAAUUAUAUCCGAUCCCUUGUACGGGUUGGCAAACAAAACCUUAUUUUCAUUCUAAUUAUGGGUUCAGAAACACACCCUGAAAGAUGCAAUUCAGUCGGGUUGUUUUCCAAACUACUUUAGAAGAACAUAGCUAGUUUUCAACUUAUAUAGCUAUUAUAUAUUGCUUUUACUAAUAUAAAUAAAGGACCACGUUGGUAUCAGAUCAGAUUAUAUAUAUUUAAAGCUUAAACGUAUGUACAAUGGGAGCAUUUUAUAUUGUUUUAUCAACUACUACUGCGAGUUCAAGCUAGUUAUAUUGGUACCAAACUAUAUGUAUUUUAUGUUUUUACGUCUAUGUAUAUACACAUUGUAAACACGGAAAUUCCUGCGAUGAACGAGACAAGAACACGUGUACAAAAUAAUAUUUGUAUUGAUGAUUUAGGGGUUACAAUCUCUUCUACAAAUUUAGCCUCUGAUUCUAUCUUUGUAAUGGGUGAAUUUGAUGUUGUUGAUCCAAAGGGCCGUCGGGGCUUGAUCUUGGGAUAAACAGUUGUGCGGAUUUGUUGACGUCGUUGAUCCAAAGGGCCGUCGGGGCUUGAUCUAGGGAUGAACGAAUGAUGAAUGAUGAACACUUUAUUCAAGGGCCGUGGGGGAGGGCUUGAUCUUGAAUUAGUGGAAGUUCUUCAAGGACAGUUGGGGCUUGCUUUUGAAUGAGGAUUUGACGAAGAACGAAGAGAGCUUUCUUGAUCCUUAGGGAUUUGCUUGGGAGCUUUGGAGUUUCAAAGCUUCAAGGUUGUGGUGUAAGGUGAAUUGGUUAUGAAUUGGUAUCUAAAAUGAAUGCCUUGGCCUCCUAUUUAUAGAAUUCCAAAACUUGAUUUUUUGGAUUUAAAUAAUUAGAUGAAAUAAAUCAUUUCUGCCAGGUGUUGACACAUGUCCUGUUUGAUGACUUUUCCGAUUUGUUUUGAUUUUUCGUUUAGUCACAUGCUAUGUGUCAAAUUUAUGUGACACAUAAACGUUGAAAUUUUAAUUAUUGAUCAACAUUUAUUUUACCGAAAUUUCGAUGUCUACAAAUGCCCCCACUUCAAGGCACGUCGUAUACAUGUGCUUGUCAUGUGUAGAAGAUGCAUUUUGAAGUCCCUUACUGCAAAUGUUGAUCCAAGGGCCGUUGAGGCUUGAUCUUGAACUGGGUUGGUAAUUUCUUCAAGGGCCGUUGGGGCUUGAUCUUGAACUUUGUUUGAAAUUUCUUCAAAGGCCGUUGAGGCUUGAUCUUGAAGGUUGAAAUUUGACCACAAGGAGCUUCAUGUGGUAGAUGAUCUUUUGCUUUGGUAGUGGGUGAAUCGGCACGUAUUUUGUUGCGCUUGUUGACUUUCCACAACUUUGAUCUUGAACUGGUUCGGACGAUUUUCUGGUUUCCUCCAAUUGUUGACUUUCCACAGGCUUAUUCUUGAACUGGGUUGGAGGAUUUUCUGGUUUCCUCCAAUUGUUGACUUUCCACAGGCUAUUCAUGAACUGGGCUGGAGGGUUUUCUGGUUUCCUCCAAAGGACUUUCCACAGACUUAAUCUUGAACUGGAUUUGAUUCAAGGGUGGUGGCCACUUGAUCUUGAAUCGGACUUGUGAUUUCUUUAAGGGCCGUCGAGGCUUGAUCUCGAACUUAAACAUGACCACGAGCAGUUUCAGGACAUGCAUGCUUUGAAAGAUCAAGGAAGUUCGCAGCAUUUUCAUAUGAACCCUGAACAGUUUGGUCAACGAUAUGAUCUUCAAGAUUGAUGGGCUCUUCUUCUAGUUGGUGACUUGAUCUUUAAGGAUUAUCGAGACUUUGCUCUUUGGCGAUAGUGCCAGCGAAAUAUUGUUGAAGCUUCUCGAGCUCUUUGAUUAUAGCAACGAUGGCAGGCUUGGAUUUGACUUAGACCCUUCCGUCUGGAUUAUGCAGUUCUACCGAGAAGGGUGUUCUGCCAUAAUGAUUUGUUCCGACUCAUCGUGCUGCGUUUUUAUUUGCUUGUUUCUUUCGCCUAGCCGAAGUGGUGCGCAACCUUUUGCCUUUAAAUGGUCCUUCAGAGCAUCACUUUUCAGCCACUCAUCCAUGCUUGGCAGCUUCAGUGUAAAGAGCCAACACCAUAUCAACUGUUUUGAAAUAUUUGCUGAGGAAAUUCGAGAUCCGUCAACAGUUGAAGAUGUGUACUCGAGAGCAACGCUAGGUAAGCAACCAGGCAAAGGUUCCGGGCAAUCAGUUCCUGAUCGGACGUUUAAUUUCAGGUUCCAACUGAUUGCUUCCUUUCUCCUUAUUCUGCAGGCAAGAACAAGGGCAAAGGAAAGGAUAGGGAAAAAGCAUGAUAUGAGAUACCUUUGCUUUCAACCCCGAUGAUAUGAGAUACUUUUGCUUUUGAAGAAGUAGCGGAUGAUCAGUACAUGUAUUUGUUGAGCUUGUCUCCACAUGCUUCGAUGCAUCAUUUUCACUCGCCUUUUCUGUUCUCCCGACAGAUGUGGUAUCUUCUCUAGAAGCAUAAGAUGUUGAGAUAAUGGGUACUUCGAGAGCAGUGCUAGGUGAGCAAUCAGGAAAGGUUCUAAGCAGUCGGUUCCUUACCAGGAGCUUGAGUGGAGGUUCCGACAUAUUGCUUUCUUUAUCCUUGUCUUUGUAGGUAAGAAUAAGGACAAAGGAAAGGACAGGGAGAAAGCAUGCUAUGAGAUACUCUUGCUCUCAACCCCAGUGAUAUGAGAUACCUUUGCUCUGGUGUAACUUGGUUGAAGAGGCGUUUCCAGGGAGGAAGAAAACUGAGUGUGUCAAGAGGUUUUAGUUGGAGAUGUAUUCUUGGUAAGGAAGAAGAGUUAGGCGUUUGUAUUUUCAGGGAGGAAGAAAACUGAGUUUUGGUUGCGGAUACAUUUGGCAAGGAAGAAGAGAAGUUGGAUAUGUGUCUUGCUAUAGAGGAUGGAGGUUGAAUUAUAUGGUGAGUUCUCAACAGCAAGUGGCAGGGUGGAUGUGGCCUUGUCUCCCAUGCUUUUUCGGCCAAAAGUCGGGUAGGUGGGUAUGAUGGACUCCACACGUUUUCAACUUUGUCAGUGAUCUCUGGCAAAGUUGCACGUGAUAGCCGAAAGCUGAAACUGCGUCUGAAAAGUGUUGACGGAUUUUAUGCAGGAAAAUCCGGGUUUUGAAAUUCGAAGAGCGGUGUCUCUUUGAUUUUUUUUUUUUUGAACAAGUGGUUGUGUUGCCUCUUCUUUUUAAAGAGGUGUCAAUCGUUUUCAACCUGCACACUUUGAAGAUUGCCCGCCUUUGAAAAUUGUCUUAGCUGUAUUUCUGAGAUUUUUACUCACUCCAACCCUUUUCUUUUACCAUCUUUUUAGAAAUGGCUAACCCAUCUAACAUUUGUUUAGAUUUGAGUCUCAGCAGUGACGCAGGUGCACCGCGUCAGGGUAAUAUAUGGCACCCGUCCUUCUCAUCUUCUAAUGGCCCUCUUACAGUUGAAGACUCUGUAAUGAGGAUUGCAGCAACGGCUACGGUUGUAGCUAGGAACCUUAUCACUCCUAAAGAUAAUAGGAUACUUUCACGACGGUCCGAUGAAUUAGCUGUUCGAGAGUCCCAGGCUCUCAGUGUCCAGUGUGCGAACUCUGUUUCCAACAUGGGCCAACGCUUACUUGUUCGAACUCGCCAGGUUGAAUCAUUGACAGCCGAGGUGGUAGCUCUUAAUCAAGUGAUCAAACAGCUGAAGCACGAGAAUAGAGAGUUGCACGUGCUUGCAAAUAAUUAUUCGACAAGCAUGAAGAGGAAGCUUGAUCAGUUUUUGGACUCCGAAAGUCGGAUUCAAAGUGACAAUCGGAGAUUUGUGGAUGUAUUCCAGAAGCACCUUUUGCCUUCGUCAUCUGGAGUUCGACCAAGUAUUGCGGCCCCGAAUAAUCCAUCACCAGUGCCUCCCUCUUCCAGGGUUCCGCCGAGUACUAAGGCUUCCAGUACUGAGGCUUCACAUAAGUGACAUUUGUGAAGGCUCUUUUUUUUUUUUUUUUUUUUUUAUGCGCACUUGUAAUUUCUUAGAGAUAUCAAUGGACAUGCUUUAUUUUAUUCAGUAUGUUGUGCUAAAACGUAUAUCUGACUAAGAUGUGUUACUCCUUUUUUUAUUUUUUUAUUUUUUAUUUAGAUGGUGCCUGAUGCACACUAUUCUUUUACCCCCUAUUAUGUCUCCACCACCCUUUUCACUUUUUUAUUUUUAUUUAUUUAUUUUUUUAUUAGACGGAAAACCUUCUUCCUUUCAAUCAUUAUGUCUCCACCAUUUUUUCACUUUUUUUUUUUAUUUUUUUUUAUUUUUUUAAUGACGGAAACCUUUCUUCCUUUCAAUCAUUAUGUCUCCACCAUUUUUUUUUUUUAGAUGGUGCCUGAUGCAUCCAUUUCUCCAUUCUUGACUUGCUAAUAGUAGCAUGCAUCAUGACCUGUCUUUCUUGCUUAUUAUCAUUUCCUUUGGAUGGUGCUUGUCAAUCACUUCUUUUCUUUGCUUUCGGUGAUGCUGGCAUCCAUUUCUCCAUUCUUGACUUGCUUGCUUAUUAUCAUUUCCUUUGGAUGGUGCUUGUCAAUCACUUCUUUUCUUUGCUUUCGGUGAUGCUGGCACAAUCAUUACUUCUCAUUCUGGUUUUCUUUUCCAAGCACAGGUGGUCAUUUGCACAGUCACUAUUAUUUGCACAGUCACGGACCUGCGUUUUGAAUAGCCACAGCAUUUCAUUUGCUUCUCCGGGGACCUUUAUAUAUAUAUAUAGGAUUGCUCAUUUGCUUGUACACUCAUUAUACAGCUUCAACCACUGCGUUGCUUGCUGCCUUGUAUCGCCACUACUCCAUUGUCUAGCAAUCCUGCGCUGCUGUUUUUACUUGGUGAGUCACAUGAGUAUAUAUAUAUAUAUAUAUACGGAAAGCUAUUGUUGUAGUUUGCUUUAUCACCGUGCAUACAUACAUAUAUGUAAUAUAAUGUGCUUUGCCCUCUGCAAUUCCUUCAUGCUGCUUUUACUUGGUGAGUCACAUGUGUGUGUAUAUAUAUAUAUAUAUGUCUUUUGAGCUGUGCAUACCAUUUUCAUCUUUUGAGCCAUGCAUAUAUGUAUAUAUAUAUUUGUCCCAUCACCAUCACCAUUUGCGUCUUUUCAAGCCAUAUAUAUAUAUAUAUAUAUGGAAGUUGAUCGUCCCUUGACCAUCUCCAUUCCGUGCACUUGUCCCAUCACUAAACCGUGCACACAUAUGUCUAUAUAUAUGUAUAUAUAUAUAUAUAUAUAACAUAAUAUAAUAUGUUUUUUUUUUUACACAAUGUGUGUGUCCCCACUGAUGGAUUUCUUUGUUUGUAAUGUCAGGAAUCUUUAAUCUUGAGAAGGUAGAGCUUGACGCCAGGAUCUUCGCGAAGCUUUUAGAGCCGUGGUAGCAGGCCGUGGGUGUGCUUGUGCAAAAGACUGUAACGAGGUUUCGCUGUGUAGUGCCUUUUGACCACAGUUUUCCCUCGGUGGCGCGCUGCCGUGUGGUGCUGUGCAAGAGACUGCAACGAGGUUUCGCUGUGUAGUGCCUUUUGACCACAGUUUUCUCUUGGCGGUAACGUCGAUAUGCGGUGCAAGAAACUGCUUGCGUAAUCACUGUGGGUUUACGUAGUGCGAUUGCGUAGCAUUUUGGUUUCCUUUGCCAUUGUAGCGUGCCUUGAAGGACCAUCCUGUAGCUGCCAUCUUUGUCGUGCUGCUCAAGUUUUGUGGCUGAUUUGCGGUCAUGGUAUUUUUCAAAUGUUUUAGGAACAACACCAUCACCAUUCUUGCGAAGGAAGGCGAUUCACAAGAUGAGGGAACAACGUUGAAGCUUUACCCGCCACUAACUGGUCCUAAGGCGCUUGCUUUUCUUGUGAAAGACAAUUCCAUGCAUAUUAAGUCGUGGUCUUCUAAAGUAUCUUGGGAGGUGGUAGACACUGUUAAACCAAAUACGAAGAAAAAGGCGUGCACAUUGAGGGUUCUUAUUUUGAACCAUUCGCACCAUGCUCGUGACCAUCAUCCGGCCUCGUUUAAGCUUCUUGGUGAUCACAUUCGUAGCUGAGCCAUGGCUUGGAAUGGUACCCUGUUGACUACUGGAAAAGCCGUCUUUGAUGAGUUUUAUUGGGAGUGGCUUGAAGAUGUCCUAAGCCGAUCUAAAGAUGUGCUUACUAAAGCGGGCCUUUACCAUGCUGUGUACGCAUCUUUGUUUAGUUAUGAUCGUCACCCUUCCAUCAUUCGUGCGUUCUUUGAGCAUUGGUGUUCAGCGACCAACACACUUCACACGGUGCAAUGGGAGAUGUCAAUUUCACUUUGGGAUUUUCACAGGAUAGGAGGCUUGCCGAUCCAAGGUAAGUUUUAUGACGAGGUCGUUCCCAGGGCGGAGGAACUUUCUCUUUGCAAUAGCCGAAGAUUGUCUGCGAGUUGCCGCUGUUUGUUUUGGGCGUAUCACAAGCUUUUCCAGGACGCUCAAGGUAAAUCAGGCGUGAGGAUUUCCUCAUGGAUCCGAUUUUGGUACUAGGAGGCCAUGAGGUAUAAGAAGUAUUUGAACAAAAAUGGCCGUAACAAGACCACUAGGCCAAAGGGAGACUCAGACCCGUCUGGUGUUAUUGGAUCAACCAGGCGCCGCUCUUCUGACGAGUUGAGAGCGUUUGAGGAUCUUGGCAUAGCAUCAGAGCAUGUGGAGGAGUCUUACUUAGCUGUUUUCUUAGCUUGCUGGCUUUGUAAGUUUGUUUUCCCGACAGGCGACGUCAACUUAAUUCGUCCUGGAGUUUUCAAAAUUGCUAGCAAGAUGGCUACAGGUGAGUCUUUUAGCCUUACUAUUCCGGUUUUAGCCAACAUUUACAAUGGCUUGAGCAUUGUUUCGAACUCGGCAAGCAUUGAAGAUCGUGUUGCGGUGCUUCCCUACCACUAUGUGUAUGGUUGGUUGGGUGAAUAUUUUGGCACUCACUUUUCUUUGACGACUCUAGACAAGUUAAGGCCUUCUUUAUCGACUGCAGCCAAGAUGGGGCUUUUGAUGGUAAAGUAUUUUGGCGUGCUCUCCGCGAAGAGCCUUGAUGAUUUGCAGGCACGAGCGCUAUUUGAAAGUUGUGAAGAUUUGAGGAUGGACCCCUUAGCGAGAGUUGGCUCGGUGCGGCGAGGCAUCGUAGACAACUCGCAUCUCCGCUCGUCAGACUUGUCUUAUCUUAUAAGUCUUCGUUCGGGGUUUGUUUCUUUGCGGCAAGAAGACCGAUGCAUUGUUCAGCCAUAUAGUCCCCACCGUUUCAGCAGGUAAUUUGGUUUUGUCCAAAACUUGCCAGGCAAGCUGAAGGAAAAGAACCAAUUAGCAUCCUUGCAAGCCGUGUAUAUGUAUUGGGAGUCUUGUACCCGUGCAUGUACAAAUGCUGUUAUCACGCUGCUAGCCAAGGACGAGUUCAAGAGUAAUCCAGUGACCCGCGUUUAUGCUCGUUGGUGGUCAAAGGUAUAUUAGAAGAACUUGGGGAUGGCAAGUGGUACCAAUUCUUCUCACUCGGGCAAUGAUAUGUCGAGAGAGGGCUGUCAUGUGGUUCCUAUGCAAGUGGUAGCUCUUGAUUGCACCAGUGUGCUCCCUUACAAGAUAGACUUGUAGCUUUAGCUCCUCAAUGCCCAUGCUUGUCUCCUCGACAUCCAGAUGCUUCUGAAGAGGCGGGAGAUGAAGUUGACUCGCACGAAGAUGGAUUUAUUUUGCAACAUCGUCAACAAGUUUCAAACAAGCGACCACUUGAGGAUGCUCAGGUUGACAGCGAUGUCAAUUUUUGUCAUAAGAGGAAAGAAGUGUUUAGACCUACUCUACUCGAUGACCGUGUGCCAUUUGAGAGAGAUGUACGUACUUCAUUUUCUCUCGUGAUUUCUUAUGCUUUCAUCAUUUUGCUUUCGUUUCUAACAUCUUUCUUUGUCUUCUUUAGGUUGGGCCUUCUUGUUCUUUUGAUUUGGCAACUGCAGAUGUUUAUUCCUAUACGGAGAUGCUAUUUACGGGCGAACUACCUACAGACAGGGAGAUCGGGGAUCCGCCUGGUGCAGAGCUUGUUCCAAAUCCGCCGAACUUCCCAAGUUUGCCAUGUGUAGGUAAAGGUAUGCAAGAAUCCGUCAUGCGUCCAACACCUUUGCCAGCUAGCUCUGAGAUCUCUUUGAGAGGGUCGAACCUUAGCGGUACUGAGCAAGUCAUCCAUCACAUCGGUCUUGGUGCGGCAAUGGAUAUUAAAAGCCAUAUAGAGAAGAGGAUUUCUAAGUGCCCGUUGGAAGACCUUACGUUGCUCAAUGAGGAUUUGUCGAAGUUUGUUUCUGUGAUUGACAACCUUAACGUUGAUUCUUCAUCCUUGAAGAUCAAGAUUGCCGAACUUAUGGCCGCCUCGACUGAGUAUCCUUCCUUGCGUGCUAUUUCCUUGGAGAAGUUGAGUCCAGAUGUUAGAGCUCAUCAGCUAGCAACAAUAAACUUGUCACUAGCUCAAGUCCAGUCUUUUCAGCAAGCUGUUUCGGGAAAUUAUCAAGUUACAGAGACUUCUUUAACUUCUGUCCAAGAGCGUCUAGAUGCGUUGGCGAGAGAGCGAGAGCAGUUGGUAAUCGAAGCAUCGCAACUUGAAAGUGUUCUCGCGGAGCAGGGAACUACACUUUCUCAGUACCAGGAGGAGAAUUCACGCCUAGAACGAGAGAAAUGCAUGACUAUGGAGUUGGCCAUCUUGUCUCCCACCGAGGCAGAGACUUUGAAGACUUUGGAAGGCGUGCUUGAAGAUCGUCUUCGUAGUUUUGGGGACAUAGUUUUCAAGUAGUAUCUUCUGUUUUUUUUUUUUUUUUUUUUUUUUUUUUUUGUAAUAAGGCUUUUGGAGCAUACUCCUUCUUUCAAAGAAAUAAAGUAUUUACAUUCUUGAAUUUGCUCUUCAUUCUUCAAAGUGUUUUUUUUUUUUUUUUUUUAGAUGGUGUGACUGUACUUGAAGUUUUGACGUUUCAAGUUGCCUACGUACCUUCUGUUGAGAAGGGAUCAAGUCAUAACGUAGUUCAAAUGAGCGAUGAAUUUAGCAGUGAUUUUGAUGAUGAUUUUACCGUACACAGUUUAUGCUCUUGCGGGCCAGGAGCGUUGGUUGUUGCCUUUUAGGGGUAGUAACGCUUCAAGAAUCUUCCAUUGAUAGGGCCAAUCUUCAAGCCGUCUUCUACCAUGAUUAAGUAGGCACCGUUGGUGUAGACUUCUUGUAUUACGUAUGGUCUAUCCCACUUUGAUGUGAACUUGCUUUUCGUCUUGUGAGUUGUGAUGAUAGGCCUACGCAAUGCGAGGACGAGAUCUCCAGUUUGGAAAGACCUUGGGCGGACCUUUUUGUUGAAUGCCUUGGAUAGCCGUGCUUGGUAGCAUUCCAAGUGUUGUUGAGCUUCGAGCCUUCUUUCGUCGAGUGCUUCCAACUCUUGAAGGCGCAACUUUGCAUUCUCUUCAUCAGUCAAGCCUUCUUGUAUAGCUAUUCUCAGUGAGGGGAUCUGACUUUCGAGCGGUAGAACAGCUUCCACGCCAUAUACAAGAGAAUAAGGCGUAGCUUUGGUAGGAGUCCUAUGUGUCGUCCGAUAUGCCCAAAGUGUUUCGCUUAUUCUUUCAUGCCAGUCUCUCUUUGUUCGGCCGAUCACCUUCUUUAAGAGAUUGCACAAUGUUUUGUUGAAUGCUUCUGCAAGACCGUUGGCCGGGGCAUGAUACAUGGAAGACUUGUGCUGCUUGAACUUGUAUUUCUCACAGAGCUCAUCCACGAGUCAGUUGAAGAAUUGCUUUCCGUUGUCAGUGAUGAUGUAGCGAGGCACCCCAUAUCGGUAGAUGAUGUGCUUCUUGAUAAAACGGACGACAGUUUCCUUCUUUACUUCUCUUAGGGGUAUGGCUUCAGCCCACUUGGAGAAGUAAUCUGUUGCAGCUAGGAUGUAAGCUUCUCCUGCAGAUGAUUUCGGAGUAAUUGGUCCUACGACGUCCAAUCCUCAUGCAUCGAAUGGCCAUGAAGCAGCUGUAGGGUGUAAUGGCUCAGGUGGUUGGUGUAUGAAGUUGGCGUGGAAUUGGCAGGCUUGGCACCUUUUGGCAUGUUCCAGGCAGUCCUUCACCAUGCUUGGCCAGUAGUAACCUAUUCUUUUGAGCUAGAAAUGUAGCUUUGGUCCAGAUUGAUGCGCCCCGCAUAUGCCUGAGUGUGCUUCUUCCAUAGCUUGAUUAAUUCUUCCUCACCUAGGCAUCUCAGAAGUACUCAUUCGAAAGAGCGUCGGUAGAGUGUUUCUUUGUAAUAAAGAAAGCGCGGUGCUCGUCGACGUAUUUCGGAGCGGUGUCUAGGAUCAUAUGGAAGUUUUCCAUGCUCUAAGUAAUCGAUCAGUGGUUGUCUCCACUCUUCAACAUCGACUGGAAGUACUGAGAUAACAUUUGUAUCAUCUAGUAGCAUUUUGGUGACGAGGGGGAUCACCCAUCUUUGGCAGACUGGCACGUCUGCAGCUUCGUCUUCUCCUAAUGUCAUGCUUGAGGCUAGGUUGGCAAGAGCGUCUGCCAUUUGGUUUUCUUUUCUUGGCAUAUGUUCUAGUGUCACAGUCUCAAAUUCUUGUAGCAGUUGAGUUGCCAGCCAGAAGUAUGGGACGAGAUCAUCUUUCCUCACCUCAUAUUCAGUUAAGAGUUAAUUGAUUAUGAGCUUGGAGUCGCCAAAUACCUCAAGGGUUGUGAUUCCCAUGUUGAUCGCCAUUUGGAGUCCGAUAAUCAGUGCUUGGUACUCAGCGACGUUGUUGGAGCAUAAUUCACUUAGUUGAAAGGAAUAAGGUAAUACCUGCCUUUGUGGCGACAUGAAUACUACUCCUGCCCCUGCUCCGUCUGCUCGUGCAGAUCCAUCGAAGAACAUCGUCCAUGUCGGGAAGAUGUCGAUGUAGAACACUUCCUUGUCAGGCAAGUCGUCUGAGAUUUUCCAAUCAGCUGGGAUUGGGUGAUCGGCAAGAAAGUCUAUUAGCGCUUGUCCCUUUACGGCUUUAGCUGGGACGUAGAUGAUCUCAUAUUGGUUAAGCAGCAGCGCCCAUUUAGCGAGUCGCCCUAUCAAGACUGGUUUGGACAUGACGUAUUUGACCGGGUCAGCUUUAGCAACCAAGUGGAUGGUGUGAGCAUGCAUGUAAUGCCUGAGUUUCUAGAUGGCGAACACUAAGGCAAGGCACAUCUUUUCUAUUGGGGAGUAGUUCAACUCGGCACCGGUGAGGGUUCGGCUGAGGUAGUAGAGCGCUCCUUCUUUUUGGGAUUCAUUCUCUUGCACCAAGAGUGCUCCAACUGAACUUUCCUGAGCGGCGAUGUAUAAUAUGAGUGGUUUCCCGGGCACAGGCGCCCCCAAGACAGGUGAACUUGACAAAUACUUUUUUAUGCUUUCAAAAGCAUUGUGGCAUGCUUCGUACCAUACAAACAGAACAUCCUUCUUCAUGAGUCGGCUGAACGGUUGACAACGCCCUGCAAGGUUAGAGAUGAAGCGUCUGAUGAAGGCUAGCCGUCCUUGUAGACUUUUCAGCUCGUGCAGGUUUCUUGGUUCAGGCAUGCUUUGAAUGGCCUUGAUUUUUUGUUGGUCCACUUCAAUACCACGGUGCUUGACGAUGAAGCCGAGGAACUUUCCGGAGGUGAUACCAAACGCACAUUUUAACAGGUUCAUCUUGAGGUUGUAUUUUCGCAGCCUUUCAAACACUACUCUCAAAUCUUUCAAGUGAUCUGAUCUUUUCUUUGUUUUGACUACCACAUCGUCCAUAUAACAUUCUACGUUCUUGUGUAGCAUGUCAUUGAAGAUUUUCUGCAUUACGCGUUGAUAUGUAGCUCCAGCGUUCUUUAGACCAAAGGGCAUCACCUUGUAACAGUAGAUACCUUUUGGAGUGCGGAAUGCUGUUAGUUCCUCGUCUUCAAGAGCCAUACGAAUUUGAUUGUAUCCAGAAGAGCCGUCCAUGAAUGACAGUGCCUCGUGGCCAGUGGUUGCGUCCACCAUGAUUUCGAUGAUUGGCAAGGGGAAGUCGUCCUUCGGGCAAGCGUCGUUGAGGUCCCAGAAGUCUACGCAAACACGUAUUUCUCUAGAUUUUUUAAGGACGAUGACGAUGUUGGAGAUCCACUUGGGGUAUUGCAUUUUUCGAAUGAAUCCUGCUUCGAUUAGCUUGUCAAUCUCUGCCUCGAUUUAUGGAAUGAGCUCAGAUCGAUAACGCCUUUGAGUUUGCUUUAUUGGUCGCGUUCUAGGCUUGACUGCAAGAUGAUGCACAACGAUGAUAGGGUCAAGGCCGGGCAUUUCUUUGUAAGUCCAAGCAAAGACGUCUUUGUACUCUGAUAGCAGUUGGUAGUACUCAUCUAUCUCGUCUGUUCUUAGCAGUGCACUUACAAAGAUAGGUUUUUGCUCCUCUUUUGUGCCUAAGUUGAGCUCCUUGAGAUCGUCAACCGUGGCUUGCCCCCCAUCCUCAAGUUGCGGUGGUGCAACAGUGACAUCUUAUUCGGGGAUCUCGUCUUCUUUGCCUUCUUAGAUCGUGAUGUGGAAGGCAUCUUAGACUUCCUCUUUAGUGUCGUCCUCUUGGGCUUGUUGGUAUGAAGAUUGUCCAGUAUGGAUGAUGGUGCGCCUUCUCACUAUCAGCGGUCCAUUUGCGUCAACCUCCAAGAUUGCUUGGCAUUUCAUCCUUGAAGGAAUUGAGCUUCGAAUGUCGCAUUUUUCUGCUAGCCUGUCGAGCUUUUCUUCCUUUGACGUUGUCUUCCUAUUUCUAGAAAACUUCAUGUUGUUUUCAAGUAUUUCCAAAGCUGACUGACGAGGAGGAGAACUAGCCUUGUUGCUUUGCUUCUUAGGUUUUAACAACCUUUAAAAAAUAGAGCUUCGGGAGGUUGGCUUGUUAAGCCUCUUGAAUACGGAGGUUCGGUUUUAACCACCAAUGUGAUCAAGGGCUGACGUUCUGGGUCUUGAACGAUUCAUCCUAUCGAAGACUGGCGUUCGAGGGGUGGAUUUAGGCUCCUCUUGAUCUUGUUCAAUGCUCACGCUGAUAUGUUGAGUGCUAGCAUUUUUUGCUUGGCUUGAAAUCUUCACGGGUGCAUUUGGUGUGAAGCCAAGUCCAGCUUUGUUGUUGUUAACUCCUUAACCAUGCUUUUUCAACUUCUUUUAAGUCUCGGUGAGGUCACGUUCUUUAUUGUUGACGGUGUUUGAAACCUUUUUCCCAGGAUUCGAAGAAGAAGCGAAGUCGUACCCAGCUUUUGACAUGAGUUUGUAGGCGUUCGGAUCAAAACCUUCUUCGGUCCUCUUGGUUGGGAGAAAACUUGGUUCCGCCCUCUUUGGUAGAGCUUUUACGAAGCCUUGUGGUAAUCUUACAACCUUAGCGUUGCUUAGCUAUGUCAAAGGUAGAACUGCAUUCGUCUUUAGCAACUUUACAUUAUCCAUGUGCCGCUGUGCAUUGGCAUUGCUUGCUUCAGUUUCGAACGGGGAUUGACCAUUCUUUCUUCUUGACAUCGGGAUGUAUCGGAAAACGGGUGUGUUUAAUCCAUUUGAGGGCGUCCUACUCCCUUUGGUUGUUGCAGGUUUAGCAAGCUCAUCAUCGUUCUUGUUUAAAGACGGCAUGGCUUCUCCUUCUUGCUUCUUGGGCAUGGCUUGCCACUCCUGUUUUUUAGGUGUUGCUUUACCCAUGGUUUUGAUCUCUUUUGGAAGAGCUUCAGGCACCAUGUCUUCAUCCAUGUAGAACUUGGCGUCUGCGAAAUGUGAUUCGGCUUCGGUGAAUGCUUUAUUGUCGUCAUAGAUCACCUUCACUCUUUCUCGGUAGAAUUUUAAGAAUUGGUGAAGGGUGGACGGUACUACUCCAUUCGCAUGGAUCCAAGGCCUUCCUAAGAGCAAGCCGUAGGAAGUUCUUGCAUCAAUCACGUGGAAUAUCGUGCUUGACUUGAGUUCACCAAUAGUCAUCUCCACUCGGAUCAUGCCCAUCGCUCUUUGUCCUCCUUGAUUAAAACCUUGGAUUAGUAGACGACUUAGGGACAGUUCAUCUGCCUUGAUGCCGAUUGUAUUCAUUGUUGACUUUGGCAUGAUGUUGAUGGCUGAUCCACCGUCCACAAGCAUGCGGUUGACUUUGUGCUCCCUUACGUACCCAGAGACGAAGAGAGGACGGUUGUGAGGCUUGGAUCCUAGCAGUAAGUCUUCGUCGGUGAAGUGGAUUGCGUCCUCGAUGGCACAGCAUGUGGCACAUUCAUGUGGCCGAAGCUUCAAGCCUUCGUCUUUGCCUUCUUGCGCUUCGUGGUCAUUGGGACUUUCCAAGACCGCUGCUAAUGCUCUUCGCAUCUUAUUUGGCAAUCGUAGCGCUUCUUCAAUGCUAAAGUGUGUUGGCAGACCUUCUUCGAGCGUGAGAGUUUUUUCUCCCUCAAUGGUGAUAUCUUUGCCUUUUGAAGGUUCUUCCAUUUCUACUUAGACCAUGUGGCAUGCAGCGAUAGUGCACUGCUGGAAGAAGUCAUUCGGGAAGUACUCGUGCAAGGAGAUAGGAAUGCGUGGCUCUUGCUCCAUAGGUUCCCCAACAUACGUUGGCUUAUCAACUUUUACGUUUCUUUUGGGCUUUCUACUGUUGCGGCGACGGUGCUUUCUCACUUGUUCCACCUUUGGUCUUGUGGCUUGUGGUUUUGGUUUCCUUGUUUUUUUGUAGGUCACCAAUGUCCAUCCUUCUUCAUCCUCGGUAUGUGCAUCAUGUUCGUUUGCCCCCGGUGAUGGUUGUGCAGAAGGUAUCAUGCAACUUGAGCAUUGAUAGGAACAGUCAGGUGUUGUUUGGAGAGGUACGGGAUCGAAAGAUCCAAAUGCAAUUGUAGUAGUAUGUGUUGCGGCCGUGUCUUCGAGGUCGAGCUCGAUUCGCCCUUGUUGUGCUAGCUUCAUGAUGAGCUCUUUGAGGACGAAACACUUACCCACUGGAUGGCUCACGAUUCGAUGGUACUUGUAGUAUUUAGGAUCGUCUAUGCGAUUCAUUUCUUCAAGCCGCUUGCAUUCGGGUAGCUCGAUUACCUUCUUUUCUAGCAAGUCGUCUAACAUUGCAUCCAUGUCUGAGUCAGGAAAAGGGUACGCCUUCUGCUCCAAUUCCCUCAAUGUGCUUUUGUACCUUUCUUAGGUGCGAGGAGGCUCACCUCUCUUUAUCUCCUUUGCUUUGGUUUUGGAGGAGAUCUUGAUAGGCGCGGAGGCGGUCUUGACGGGCGCAGUGUUGACGGUGAACGCUUCCUUGGGGGGCUUCUUCCCAGUCUUGUCUACAUUUGAGGAGAACACCUUAUCCUUCUUGAAGUCGGUGAUCUGCUCUUUCUUCCCGUGAUGGGCAAUACUUAGCUCCAUGUCGUGGGCAUGGGUGGCUAACUCUUCAAAUGUCCGUGGUUUGAUGCCUUGAAGGAUAUAGUGUAACCCCCAUUGCAUGCCUUGGACGCACAUCUCGAUCGAAGAGAUCUCCGAGAGCCUGUCCUUGCAGUCGAGGCUUAGAUUGCACCAUUGGUUGAUGUAGUCCACAACUGGCUCAUCCCUCCAUUGCUUUGUGCUUGUCAGCUCUAGCAUGCUCAUGGUGCGACGGGUGCUGUAGAAGCGAUUGAGGAAUUCCUUUUACAAUUGCUCCCAACUGUUGAUGGACUCAGGCUCUAGGUCCGUGUACCACUCAAAGGCAUUUCCUUUUAGCGAGCCUACAAACUGCUUAGCGAGGUAAUCUCUUUCUGUCCCCGCGUUGUUGCAAGUCUCAAUGAAAUGGGCGACGUGUUGCUUCGGGUUUCCCUUUCCAUCGAACUGCAUGAACUUUGGUGGCUGAUAACCCCUUGGCAUCUUCAACGCAUCAAUUUUCUUGGAGUAGGGUUUUGAGUAUAGUACGGAGUCAUGUGAACUUCCUUCGUACUGUGCCUUGAUGGUACUGGCGAUCAUCUCUUGCAGUUGUUGGAUAGAAAGAGAUCCCAUGAGUGCCUCUGCUUGGCCUGGCUCCGGCUUCACAUCGAUUUUCUCCACCAGAGGCUUUUCAUCCUCGUCAUUUUCCUUCUUUACUGAACCAUCCCCUUGCUCGAUUUUCACGUUGGGCUUUACAUCUAGUUGGUUGACGAGUGCGGCGAUUUACUGGUCUUUUUCUUCCAUAAUCCGUGUUAGCCUUGCGAUCGCUUCAUUCAUAUGAGCCAACUGCUCAUCGAUUGAAGUCGCUCCAGUAGUCAUGACUUGCAUGGCUGAUUUGCUGCUUGAGUCGGCAUCGGAAAGCAUGAAACCAGAGUACUUCCUUGGGCUUUCCUUCCUUGGCGCCCUUAGCGAGGCCAGGGUGAUCACAGGUUCGUGCCUCAGGUGCUCUUGUUCCUUCGGCGGAGGUCAAAGAGGCGGCAGAAAUAGCUCUUGCCUUGCUUCGAGUUAUGACACCCGAAGUGACACUGCCUGCAGUGAUGACGCUCUUGUUCCUUGCAUUGGUUGCGAGAACAACUUGAGCCUUCUUUGAUGCCAUUUGUGCUUUUUGCGGAUUCAAAGAUAGAGAUGAGAGGCAGAGAUGGUCCUACUGGGCGUGCCAAAUUUGUAAACACGGAAAUUCCUGCGAUGAACGAGACAAGAACACGUGUACAAAAUAAUAUUUGUAUUGAUGAUUUAGGGGUUACAAUCUCUUCUACAAAUUUAGCAUCUGAUUCUAUCUUUGUAAUGGGUGGAUUUGAUGUUGUUAAUCCAAAGGGCCGUCGGGGCUUGAUCUUGGGAUAAACAGUUGUGCGGAUUUGUUGACGUCGUUGAUCCAAAGGGUCGUCAGGGCUUGAUCUAGGGAUGAACGAAGGAUGAAUGAUGAACACUUUAUUCAAGGGUCGUGGGGGAGGGCUUGAUCUUGAAUUAGUGGAAGUUCUUAAAGGACCGUUGGGGCUUGCUUUUGAAUGAGGAUGUGACGAAGAACGAAUAGAGCUUUCUUGAUCCUCCGGGAUUUGCUUGGGAGCUUUAGAGUUUCAAAGCUUCAAGGUUGUGGUGUAAGGGGAAUUGGUUAUGAAUUGGUGUCUAAAAUGAAUGCCUUGGCCUCCUAUUUAUAGAAUUCCAAAACUUGAUUUUUUGGAUUUAAAUAAUUAGAUGAAAUAAAUCAUUUCUGCCAGGUGUUGACAUAUGUCCUGUUUGAUGACUUUUCCGAUUUAUUUUGAUUUUUCAUUUAGUCACAUGCUAUGUGUAAAAUUUAUGUGACACAUAAACGUUGAAAUUUUAAUUAUUGAUCAACAUUUAUUUUAUCGAAAUUUCGAUGUCUACACACAUACAUACCACAAGGGACACAUGCUGUGUUAGUGGUAGGCAUAGUCUAAAAUAUCUAUAAUAUCCUGAUAUUUUCAUCGAAAUUUCCGUGUUUUUGGACUACCAAUAUUUUUUUGGACUACCGAUAUUUCCAAUAUCAUCGAUAUUUUAGACUUUACUAAGUCACUCAUGUAUCUUACCAUACAAUGUAUAAAGUGUAAAAUAUUGUAUUAAUUCAUUAUAUAUAAAUGAUUAUGGUGUGUUUAAACUUCUUUCAUUAAUUACUACAUAUUUUCUACACUCACAAUAUUUGUCAGCUCGCUAUAUAAUCAACUUAAAUAAGUUAUAUCUAUCAUGUAAUGCAUUUCCGUCCAAUUUUUUGUGAUAAACUAAUAGAUAAUUGACUAAAUAAACAUCGUACAAAGUUUCAAUAAAAAUUUCCAAGUUUUUCUUACAAUUUCCGUGGUUUUUAUUCAAUUUUUAUCUAUAUCGAUAAUAUCCCGAUAUUUCCAUCGAAAUUCCGUGUUUUUGAACUACCGAUAUUUCCGAUAUCAUCGAUAUUUUAUACCUUAGGUGAAUCUAAUUAGGAUUUCCAUAGGCUAGAUUUUGUAAAUUUCUGUGGGGUUAGGGUUAUUUGUACUUUAAAUCAAUUGACUUGCGGCUAAA
rnacentral:lncRNA from 1 species